ACCGUAGGGAUGACGCCCGCGUACCAGUUAGGUUGUUGGGUGGGGUAAAGGCCUACCAAGCCAUAGAUGGUUAGCUGGUCUGAGAGGAUGAUCAGCCACACUGGGACUGAGACACGGCCCAGACUCCUACGGGAGGCAGCAGGUGGGGAAUAUUGCGCAAUGGGGGCAACCCUGACGCAGCAACGCCGCGUGUGUGAAGAAGGCCCUCGGGUCGUAAAGCACUGUCGAAUAGAACGAGCCGGAUGCGGUUAAUACCCGUGUCCCCGACGGUACUAUUUGAGGAAGCACCGGCUAACUCCGUG
rnacentral:rRNA from 1 species